UACACUCCUACGGGAGGCAGCAGUGGGGAAUUUUGGACAAUGGGCGAAAGCCUGAUCCAGCAAUGCCGCGUGAGUGAAGAAGGCCUUCGGGUUGUAAAGCUCUUUUGUCAGGGAAGAAACGGUGAAAGCUAAUAUCUUUUGCUAAUGACGGUACCUGAAGAAUAAGCACCGGCUAACUACGUGCCAGCAGCCGCGGUAAUACGUAGGGUGCAAGCGUUAAUCGGAAUUACUGGGCGUAAAGCGUGCGCAGGCGGUUUUGUAAGUCUGAUGUGAAAUCCCCGGGCUCAACCUGGGAAUUGCAUUGGAGACUGCAAGGCUAGAAUCUGGCAGAGGGGGGUAGAAUUCCACGUGUAGCAGUGAAAUGCGUAGAUAUGUGGAGGAACACCGAUGGCGAAGGCAGCCCCCUGGGUCAAGAUUGACGCUCAUGCACGAAAGCGUGGGGAGCAAACAGGAUUAGAAACCCUAGUAGUCCCA
rnacentral:rRNA from 1 species